UACGUAGGGGGCGAGCGUUGUCCGGAGUUCCUGGGCGUAAAGCGCACGCAGGCGGUCUGCUAAGUUUGGAGUGACAGUUGGUGGCUUAACUGCCAAAGUGCUUCGAAAACUGACAGACUUGGGGGCUUCAGAGGGACACGGAAUUCCGGGUGGAGUGGUGAAAUGCGUAGAGAUCCGGAGGAACACCAAAGGCGAAGGCAGUGUCCUGGGGAGUACCUGACGCUCAGGUGCGAAAGCCAGGGGAGCGAACGGG
rnacentral:rRNA from 1 species